UACGGAGGGUGCAAGCGUUAAUCGGAAUUACUGGGCGUAAAGCGCACGCAGGUGGCUGAGAAAGUCGAUUGUGAAAGCCCUGGGCUUAACCUGGGAAUUGCAGUCGAAACUACUCGGCUAGAGUAUGGGAGAGGGUAGUGGAAUUCCCGGUGUAGCGGUGAAAUGCGUAGAUAUCGGGAGGAACAUCAGUGGCGAAGGCGGGUCUCUGGACAGUUCCUGACGCUGAGGCACGAAGGUCAGGGGAGCAAACGGG
rnacentral:rRNA from 1 species